AGUUGGAAAUAACUCAUUUAUUGCCUUUUGACCAGUAAUUUUGCCUUGGGGGAGCCACUAUAUUCGGGUCCUUUUUCUUAGCAUACCCUGCAACAGGUUCCUUCUCAACCUUAGCUGUUAAUAUCAACAAGGAGUGCGAAAACUGGUUUGUCUGGAAUUAUUAUGGCUUUAUCAUAUGCAUUACGUUACUUUGUUAUUCAUGGCACAAAUGUUUGAAUAUAUACUUCAAGUAUGUCUUACUUUUGCUACUUAGUUCUCUUAAAAUGUUUUUAUAGAUGUGGAAUAAUGGGCAGAUUGUUUUAUAGAUGUGGAAUAAUGGGCAGAUUGUAUAAUGGGUGUAUUACAUUCAAGGCAUUCUAUAAAAUAAACAAGCAUUAAAAUGUUACAUUUUUUAGAGGAUGUAUAAAAAGAAGUGUGGAUGAACUAUGUAAGGUAAUUAGGAAAGUGGCUAGACUGAGGUUAUUGUUUAAAAGAUCACGAAUAAUUCUUUAGAGGCUGUUGAUAUUUGGAAUCGUAACCUGAAAAAGAGUUUUGAUGGUGGAGUGUGCAAUGUAAAUGUGCAUUAAAAUGUUAAAAAAUGUUAAUUGUGGUAAAAUUAAGUAGGAGGUAUAGUGUUAAAAAAAUUAAUUAUUAAAAUGAGAUAAUAAAAAAAUUAAAAUAGACUCGAGGCAAAGGGCAAGAGGUCACAAUCACAAGUUCUCUUAGUGGUGAGAUAUGUUUCAGAGGUAUAUAUCCUAUCUCUAAUAUGUAUAAUGUCAUUAAUCCCUCGGUAUGAGAUAGUGCAGUUUCGGCUGACCUGUAUGUUUCUGGUAAUAUUACAAGAGCAGAAUGCAGAUCCUCCAUCAUGUUUUCUUUGAGUAGUCGAGUUGAAUUUGAAGUCAUUAAUUGAUGGUACAUCAUGUUUACUUGAACUUUUUCAAUGAAAAAACCAUGUAGUAUUUGUUACUCACAAACUUCAUGCUAUAUGUAGUAGAUAUAGAUAUACAAUAUACAACUCUCUAUCUCAAAAAGGUUAUCUCUAACCUCUCAAAAAGUUCUCUCUGUGGUUUGUCAUGGAUAAGCAAAACCAGGGUUUUGUGGAUGAUCUCAGAUCUUCAAAAGAAAUCUGGAACAUCAAAGUUGGUAUCAGAAGAAGUUGUAAUUGGAAGCGUGGUUUCACGUGGAGACUUGGAUGUAGAUUUUUAAGCCUACUACUGUGAAAGAAAGCAAAAGGAUGGAUUUCAAACUCCAAGAUUUGAAGUGCAAGUGCCACCGGUAUUCGCUAGAGUCAAGUCAAGUCCGGGGAGAUAGAAAAAGCAUGAACUUGAUGCUCAUGUGUACAAGUUGCUUGCUUUUAAGAAAUUGAUUGCUAAGUACAACAUGGGAAUCAGUAUCAUGUGUACACUGUGUGAAAACUCUAUGGUGACCUCGAUAUAAUUGUUGAGCUGGUGGGGCAAGAUCCUGCUAUGGAUGUAUAAAGUCGGAUCCGUUUUUCUGUCAUCUUUUCGAAGGAUGUUGUGUUUGUUACCGGCGAAUCUUUGGCUAUUUGUUGAAUAAGAUUUUGGAAAAAACCCAUUGAAGUCAUUGCUGAAAAAAAUAUUGUUGCAAGAGAGCACUCUACCCACCAAAAGGAUUAGGAAAAAGCUUCAACCAUAUGAUGUCUAAACUGCUGCAAAGUUAGAUGUAUGUUGUGGCAACUGUACUUUUUAAACUUCUCUUUUGACAAACUAUCAAUAACUUUAAUGUUUAGUUUAUUUUGUUUCA